GGGCCCGUGGCCUAGCACGGAAAGGCGCCGUCCCUCGUUAACGGGGGUGCAAGCCUUCGGAGCCGGAGAUCCCGGGUUCGAGUCCCGGCGGGCCCGCCA
rnacentral:tRNA from 1 species